rnacentral:rRNA from 1 species
AAAUUGAAGAGUUUGAUCAUGGCUCAGAUUGAACGCUGGCGGCAGGCCUAACACAUGCAAGUCGAACGGUAGCACAGAGAGCUUGCUCUCGGGUGACGAGUGGCGGACGGGUGAGUAAUGUCUGGGAAACUGCCUGAUGGAGGGGGAUAACUACUGGAAACGGUGGCUAAUACCGCAUAAUGUCGCAAGACCAAAGAGGGGGACCUUCGGGCCUCUUGCCAUCAGAUG